rnacentral:rRNA from 1 species
UGAACGCUGGCGGUAUGCUUAACACAUGCAAGUCGAACGGAAACGAUACUAGCUUGCUAGUAGGCGUCGAGUGGCGGACGGGUGAGUAACGCGUAGGAAUCUGCCUGAUAGUGGGGGAUAGCCCGAAGAAAUUCGGAUUAAUACCGCAUAAUCUAUUCGUAGUAAAGUGGGGGACUUUCGAGCCUCACGCUAUCAGAUGAGCCUGCGUAAGAUUAGCUAGUUGGUAGGGUAAAAGCCUACCAAGGCAACGAUCUUUAGCUGGUCUGAGAGGAUGAUCAGCCACAUCGGGACUGAGACACGGCCCGAACUCCUACGGGAGGCAGCAGUGGGGAAUAUUGGACAAUGGGGGCAACCCUGAUCCAGCAAUACCGCGUGUGUGAAGAAGGCCUGAGGGUUGUAAAGCACUUUCAAUUGUGAAGAAAAGUUAACGGUUAAUAACCGUUAGCCUUGACGUUAACUUUAGAAGAAGCACCGGCUAACUCCGUGCCAGCAGCCGCGGUAAUACGGAGGGUGCAAGCGUUAAUCGGAAUUACUGGGCGUAAAGCGUACGUAGGCGGUUUAUUAAGUCAGAUGUGAAAGCCCCGGGCUUAACCUGGGAACUGCAUUUGAAACUGGUCAACUAGAGUAUGGUAGAGGAAAGUGGAAUUUCUGGUGUAGCGGGUGAAAUGCGUAGAUAUCAGAAAGGAACAUCAAUGGCGAAGGCAGCUUUCUGGACCAAUACUGACGCUGAGGUACGAAAGCGUGGGUAGCAAACAGGAUUAGAUACCCUGGUAGUCCACGCCGUAAACGAUGAUAACUAGCCGUUGGGGGGAUUUACCCUUUAGUGGCGAAGCUAACGCGUUAAGUUAUCCGCCUGGGGAGUACGGCCGCAAGGUUAAAACUCAAAGGAAUUGACGGGGACCCGCACAAGCGGUGGAGCAUGUGGUUUAAUUCGAUGCAACGCGAAGAACCUUACCUGGUCUUGACAUCCUGCGAACUUUCUAGAAAUAGAUUGGUGCCUUCGGGAACGCAGUGACAGGUGCUGCAUGGCUGUCGUCAGCUCGUGUCGUGAGAUGUUGGGUUAAGUCCCGUAACGAGCGCAACCCCUAUCCUUAUUUGCCAGCACGUCAUGGUGGGAACUAUAAGGAGACUGCCGGUGAUAAACCGGAGGAAGGCGGGGACGACGUCAAGUCAUCAUGGCCCUUACGACCAGGGCUACACACGUGCUACAAUGGGAAGGACAAAGAGCCGCGAAGCCGCGAGGUGUAGCUAAUCUCAGAAACCUUUUCGUAGUCCGGAUUGGAGUCUGCAACUCGACUCCAUGAAGUCGGAAUCGCUAGUAAUCGUAGAUCAGAAUGCUACGGUGAAUACGUUCCCGGGUCUUGUACACACCGCCC